GGAAGGAUCAUUAUCGAGGGUUUCGAGAGGGGGGGGAGGUGACCCCUUCGGGGGGCUUUCCCCCGAUCUCUUUUUUCCACCGUGCUGAAUUGGACCCUGUUGCUUCAGCGGGCUGGCUUGGAGGGGAGUUGAUGCUAGCUCUCCAACCCUCUCUCCACCGCCAUGCCCGCUGGAGAAACCUCUCUUUUAACACACUGAUGGCUUUUUUUAAGUGAACAUACUGGUCUGAGUGGGCGUGAAAUCUAGUUGUAAAACUUUCAACAAUGGAUCUCUUGGUUCCGGCAUCGAUGAAGAACGCAGCGAACUGCGAUAAGUAAUGUGAAUUGCAGAAUUCCGUGAAUCAUCGAAUCUUUGAACGCAUAUUGCGCCCUCUGGGAUUCCGGAGGGCAUACCUGUCCGAGUGCCAUGGCUUCCCUCCAGGUUUCGGCUUGGGUGUUGGGCUUGCCGUCCCUGUUUUCCUGUUAAACAGAUCUUCCCCUGGGUUUCUUCGCCGGGGUUGGUCAGUUCAGACCGGGUGUGGGACGGGCCUGAAAGACAGGCGACCCCGGGGGUGCAGGUCAACCGCUUGUGUGCCUGAGAGAGAGUGUGGGUGUUGUGUGGGCUCUGUUUUCUUCCCCUCACUUCUCUUCUAGGCGUGACCGAAUCGCCCCCCGGUGUGCUUUCGUCCUCCCUCCGGCAGGACAUGCGUGGUGUCGAUGACCCUUCUCGUCGGCCUCGGAUCAGGUAAGGAUACCCGCUGAACUUAAGCAUAUCAAUAAGCGGAGGAAAAGAAACCAACCGGGAUUGCCUCAGUAACGGCGAGUGAAGCGGCAAGAGCUCAAAUUUGAAAUCUAGCCCCCUCUUUACAGGGCUCGAGUUGUAAUUUGGAGAGGAUGCUUUGGGCUUCGUCCCGGCCUAAGUGCCCUGGAACGGGUCGUCGGAGAGGGUGAGAAUCCCGUCUGGGGCCGGUGACGAUGCCUCUG
rnacentral:rRNA from 1 species